ACUAUUAAAUUAUAUUUUUCAUUUUUACUAUUUAAUUCUUUAUAUAAAGAAUUAAAUUUAAUCUUAUAAAUCUUUUGUUCAAUUUAAUUUAAAUAAAUACCCUUAUCAAAGUACUGUGAAGGAAAUAUGAAAUAUAAUGAAAAAUAAAACAAUUAAAGGAGAUUUUCUUACCUUUAGUAUUAUGGAUUUUCAAGUAUAUUUGAAUCGUUUUUCGUUUCCCGAAAUUCAGGGAGCUAACCCCCUUUUCUUAAAGAGAUUAAGGAAAACUGUUGCAAAAGUUACCCUAAAAAGAGGGUUAGAAAUUAAAUGUUUACCGUCCUGAUUGAUAUCUGGUUUCCAAAGAAAAUAAUAUUAGUUACUUUCUUUAUCUAUUAAUAUAAUUUUAUGUUCUAGCGAAAGAAUAGAAGAAAAAAGGAGAUAAAUUCUUUUUUCAAAAAGGAAACAACCUUAAAAUUAGAAAAGGACAAAAUUUUUUCAAGAAAGAGUUUAUUGUAGGCCUAAAAGCUGCCACCUUUUAAGAAAGCGUUAAAGCUCAUUACUUGUUUACUAAAAUUUAUGAAUUCUCAUCCAUUUCUAUAUAAUUUUGUAUUUGGAAAUAAUUAUGAAAAUAUUAGUAAGAUUUUAUUACAAUUUAUACUAAAAGUUUAAUUUAAUCAAAAUAACCUUGGUUUAAAAAAAUUAUCUUUCAAGAAUGAAUUUUUUACUUUUGUACUUACAACUCAGUUUAGUUUUUAUAAAUUGAAUUAAGGUAUAGAAAGGAACUCGGCAAAAAAGAAAGUGACUGUUUACCAAAAACAUAGCUUCUUGUAUUUAUAAGAAGUUAAGCCUGCCCGGUGAUUAUUUUUAACGGCCGCGGUAUCUUAACCGUGCUAAGGUAGCAUAAUAAUUUGUUUUUUAAAUGGAAACUAGUAUGAAUGGCCCUUCAUUUUCUAACUGUCUCUCUAUAUCCUCUCUUAAAUUUCUACCCCCGUGAAGAAGCGGGGAUUUCUUAGUAAGACGAAAAGACCCUGUCGAGCUUCAGCUAAUAAAGGGUACUAUUUAAACUUUUAUUUGUUUAUUUAACCAUUUUAAGCUUUGGUUGGGGCAACCAUGGAGUAAUUUUACCCUCCAGUUAAAAAGUUGAAUUUUAUUCUCUUUAUUAUUUAAUGAACCAAACUAUUUUGGUAAUCAGAAAAAGUUACCGCAGGGAUAACAGCGUAAUCUUCUUUGAGAGCCCUUAUUGACAAGAAGGUUUGCGACCUCGAUGUUGGAUUGGGGCAACCAAAAAGUGCAGCCGCUUUUUAAGGUUGGACUGUUCGUCCAUUAAAGCCCUACAUGAUCUGAGUUCAGACCGACGUGAGUCAGGUUAGUUUCUAUCUACUUUAUUAAUUUUUUUAGUACGAAAGGACCAAAAAAUUCUCUUCAAUGGAAACUCUAAAAGAGAUACACUUAUUAAAUAUUUUAAUUAAAAUU
rnacentral:rRNA from 1 species